AGAGUUUGAUCCUGGCUCAGGAUGAACGCUGGCGGCGUGCUUAACACAUGCAAGUCGAACGAACCUUCGGGUUAGUGGCGGACGGGUGAGUAACGCGUGGGAAUCUGCCCUCAGGAGGGGGAUAACGGUUGGAAACGGCCGCUAAUACCCCAUAUGCCGAGAGGUGAAAUGAAUUUCGCCUGAGGAUGAGCCCGCGUCUGAUUAGCUUGUUGGUGAGGUAAUGGCUCACCAAGGCUUCGAUCAGUAGCUGGUCUGAGAGGAUGAUCAGCCACACUGGGACUGAGACACGGCCCAGACUCCUACGGGAGGCAGCAGUGGGGAAUUUUCCGCAAUGGGCGAAAGCCUGACGGAGCAACGCCGCGUGAGGGAUGAAGGCCUCUGGGCUGUAAACCUCUUUUCUCAAGGAAGAAGAUAUGACGGUACUUGAGGAAUAAGCCACGGCUAAUUCCGUGCCAGCAGCCGCGGUAAUACGGGAGUGGCAAGCGUUAUCCGGAAUUAUUGGGCGUAAAGCGUCCGCAGGCGGCCUUUCAAGUCUGCUGUUAAAACGUGGAGCUUAACUCCAUCAUGGCAGUGGAAACUGUUGGGCUUGAGUGUGGUAGGGGCAGAGGGAAUUCCCGGUGUAGCGGUGAAAUGCGUAGAUAUCGGGAAGAACACCAGUGGCGAAGGCGCUCUGCUGGGCCAUAACUGACGCUCAUGGACGAAAGCCAGGGGAGCGAAAGGGAUUAGAUACCCCUGUAGUCCUGGCCGUAAACGAUGAACACUAGGUGUCGGGGGAAUCGACCCCCUCGGUGUCGUAGCCAACGCGUUAAGUGUUCCGCCUGGGGAGUACGCACGCAAGUGUGAAACUCAAAGGAAUUGACGGGGGCCCGCACAAGCGGUGGAGUAUGUGGUUUAAUUCGAUGCAACGCGAAGAACCUUACCAGGGUUUGACAUCCUGCGAACCUCUAAGAAAUUGGAGGGUGCCUUCGGGAACGCAGUGACAGGUGGUGCAUGGCUGUCGUCAGCUCGUGUCGUGAGAUGUUGGGUUAAGUCCCGCAACGAGCGCAACCCACGUUUUUAGUUGCCAGCAUUAAGUUGGGCACUCUAGAGAGACCGCCGGUGAUAAACCGGAGGAAGGUGUGGAUGACGUCAAGUCAUCAUGCCCCUUACAUCCUGGGCUACACACGUACUACAAUGCUACGGACAAAGGGCAGCAAACUCGCGAGGGCAAGCAAAUCCCAUAAACCGUGGCUCAGUUCAGAUCGUAGGCUGCAACUCGCCUACGUGAAGGAGGAAUCGCUAGUAAUCGCAGGUCAGCAUACUGCGGUGAAUACGUUCCCGGGCCUUGUACACACCGCCCGUCACACCAUGGAAGUUGGCCACGCCCGAAGUCGUUACUCCAACCCUUGUGGAGGAGGACGCCGAAGGUGGGGCUGAUGACUGGGGUGAAGUCGUAACAAGGUAGCCGUACCGGAAGGUGCGGCUG
rnacentral:rRNA from 1 species